rnacentral:rRNA from 1 species
UGGGGAAUAUUGCACAAUGGGCGCAAGCCUGAUGCAGCCAUGCCGCGUGUAUGAAGAAGGCCUUCGGGUUGUAAAGUACUUUCAGCGGGGAGGAAGGGAGUAAAGUUAAUACCUUUGCUCAUUGACGUUACCCGCAGAAGAAGCACCGGCUAACUCCGUGCCAGCAGCCGCGGUAAUACGGAGGGUGCAAGCGUUAAUCGGAAUUACUGGGCGUAAAGCGCACGCAGGCGGUUUGUUAAGUCAGAUGUGAAAUCCCCGGGCUCAACCUGGGAACUGCAUCGGAUACUGGCAAGCUUGAGUCUCGUAGAGGGGGGUAGAAUUCCAGGGGUAGCGGGGAAAGGCGUAGAGAUCUGGAGGAAUACCGGUGGCGAAGGCGGCCCCCUGGACAAAGACUGACGCUCAGGUGCGAAAGCGUGGGGAGCAAACAGG